rnacentral:rRNA from 1 species
UUUCUUGAGUGAGCGAGAAGUAUGCGGAAUGCGUGGUGUAGCGGUGAAAUGCAUAGAUAUCACGCAGAACUCCGAUUGCGAAGGCAGCAUACCGGCGCUCAACUGACGCUUAUGCACGAAAGUGUGGGUAUCGAACAGGAUUAGAUACCCUGGUAGUCCACACAGUAAACGAUGAAUACUAAUUGUUCGGGGAGAAUGAUCCCUGAGUGAUACAGCGAAAGCGUUAAGUAUUCCACCUGGGGAGUACGCCGGCAACGGUGAAACUCAAAGGAAUUGACGGGGGCCCGCACAAGCGGAGGAACAUGUGGUUUAAUUCGAUGAUACGCGAGGAACCUUACCCGGGCUCAAACGACGGAUGGAUGUUUCUGAAAGGAGGCAGUCCUACGGGACAUCCGUCGAGGUGCUGCAUGGUUGUCGUCAGCUCGUGCCGUGAGGUGUCGGCUUAAGUGCCAUAACGAGCGCAACCCCCAUCGCCAGUUACCAGCAAGUAAAGUUGGGGACUCUGGCGAGACUGCCGGCGCAAGCUGUGAGGAAGGCGGGGAUGACGUCAAAUCAGCACGGCCCUUACGUCCGGGGCGACACACGUGUUACAAUGGCAGGUACAGAGAGAUGCGAUGUGGCGACGCAGAGCGGAACUUCAAAGCCUGUCUCAGUUCGGAUCGGAGUCUGCAACCCGACUCCGUGAAGCUGGAUUCGCUAGUAAUCGCGCAUCAGCCACGGCGCGGUGAAUACGUUCCCGGGCCUUGCACUCACCGCCCGUCAAG